UUUGGAAAGAAGCAUGCCAAAAUGACU
rnacentral:piRNA from 1 species